AGUACUCCGGGCACGCGGGGGACGCGGACGGGGGCAGGCGCGGCACUUAAAGGGGCCCGAGGGGCGAGGGCGGCCGCCGGGGCGCAGCUCCGCGAGUGGCGUGGGGUUCCCACGGAGCCUGGGUUCUUUCGCACAGCGAGCAUGCAGCUAGGCCGAUCUUUGUUCUUUAGAGACAAAGCCCCUGAACUUGGGUCCUCGCUUUGUUCAGUUUCUGGACUUGGUUGGGAACUAGCUGUGAAUAAUGUGCUGAAAUUUCACAAAGGUAAGAGAAAGGUGGUAGAAAUGGAAACUUAGUCAUUUGUUUCCUUCGGACUUUUACUGUUAAAAUGGUGGAUUAAGUGUUUAUCCUGAUGAGCAAUCAUCCUUUUGCACAAUUGAGUGUACACAGAACCCUAAUUUGCAACUUUGCUAUUUCUGUUUGCUGAAGGCCUUUACCUCAUAGGGCUGCCAGUGUUGGUCAGGAUGCUAUAUAGAAGGUAUUGGCUUUAUACGUUGUGACUUUCAGAUACAGUCCCAGGUCAUACUGUGGCCAGCAACUCACCACCUUUCCUUACUCCAUCCUUGGUCAGAAAAUGUCCUUUAUUCUCCAGACUAAAAUCUGCAUGUUCCUCAUGAGCCUAGCAGCUUUUGUAACUGCAUAUAGAAGAGGAAUUUGACAUAUUGUGCCUCAUUCCUCACUUCCUAGGACUCUUUCAGUUCCAACCCAGUCCAAAUAGACAAGAUCAUCCAAAAGAGGCAAUUAAAAAAUCAUAACCUGCUCUAGCCAUCAUCUUCAAUUUUGGUUUUGACUAGGCAACUAUAAAGGAAGAGUGUGUAUUUUAAACUAUUAAAGCCAGGACUUCAGUUAAAGGAGACAAAAGGAACCAAAAUGCUUCCCUUCUCCCCUCUUUCUCCCUGUGCUUCCUCUCAGCAUCACAUUCUUCCUCAUCCUGGUUCUGGCCACACCUCCUCCUUUGGAUUUUUAAAGUAUACAAAAAUCCUAGCCAAAAAAGUUCUGGGAGACAGCUCUAGCCAGCUCUCCCAGUCUUCUUGUUUUUUAUUUUUAUUUUAUUUUAUUGGCUACUCAAGGCCGCUACAAAAAUCCAAUCUUUUGCCCAUCAUCCAUUGGUCAUUGCCUGGUCCCUGAGGCUUGUCAUAAUCUCAGUCUCCAACACUGGUCACGUGGCCCAUCGCCCAGUUCCAUACAUCUCCUUUAUUCACCUCUUCCCACUCACCCUAUCUUGGAAAAUAUACCAGCUGGCUGUUCUUGUACGCAGCUGUCAAGAGGAGCAGGGAAUAAGACAAUAUCCUGAAUGCUUGGAGAUGACAGAACAACACUAAAAUGGGAAAGGGGAAGUUGUAAAGGGCUGACUUACUUAGUCCGGUCCAUUCUGAGUCCUGGUGACAGUUCUCAAUUAGUGGAUAUUAUGUAAGUUGUUUUAGUUCUGCUUCUGCAAUUAGACUGUCAUUGAUACCGUUUGUAGCCUAUGUAAUACCUGUUACCCUUAUUCCUAACAGGAGGCAAGAGAGAAAGGAGCUGGAGGAAAAGGAGUAAUUCUGGAAAAAGUUUCCUCACUCUUAAUAGAAAGAGAGAGAGAGAGAGAUAGGUGGGUUUUUUUCUUCCUUUGGAUGUUAUAUGUCUAGGUCUAAUGCCAUCUUGCUACAAGCCUAAAGAUGAAACCAGGACUGGAGAUGGCAAAGAGACAUAGAAGCGAGCUGGGUCCUUGAUGGCAUUAUUGAGCCACAAUCCCUCUGCCCUAACCUGACACUCUCCAUUAGGUGAGAUAAUAUUUCUAUUUUCUUAUAGACCAGUCUAUAAGAGGCUGAGGCAGGUUCGUGUUUUCUGUCCUCUUUAUUGCUUGUUAUGUGAGACACAUAAUGCCAAUCUGUUUAUCUCUCAAUAUGCCAGAGAAAAUACUUGUCACCAAUGGUCCUGUUCUGUUUUUUCAUACUGUUAAGUGAUUUUGCAAAUUAUUUACAGAGCUAAGACUAAAGGAAUAGUGAAAAAUAAUUCUUUAAAAAAUUUUUAAUUUCAGUACAGCAAACCCGUUUUUUAUUCUAUAUUUUCCUGCAUUUGAAGGAUUAUUUACCCUAAAUGGACAGUGUUCUUUGAACGUAACUGACUACUUAUCAAUUAGCAUAUAUGAACCAGGAACACAAUCAUCUUAUAAAUAUUGAUUCCAGGCUUCAAAUACAUUUUUUUUUUUUUGAGACAGAGUCUCACUCUGUCACCCAGGCUGGAGUACAGUGGCGCAGUCUUGCCUCACUGUAACCUCCGCCUCCUGGGUGCAAGCAAUUCUCAUGCCUAACCAUCCAGAGUAGCUGGGACUACAGAUACCCACCACCACGCCCGGCUAAUUUUUUGUAUUUUU
rnacentral:lncRNA from 10 species